UACGUAGGGUGCAAGCGUUAAUCGGAAUUACUGGGCGUAAAGCGUGCGCAGGCGGUUCGCUAAGACAGAUGUGAAAUCCCCGGGCUUAACCUGGGAACUGCAUUUGUGACUGGCGGGCUAGAGUAUGGCAGAGGGGGGUAGAAUUCCACGUGUAGCAGUGAAAUGCGUAGAGAUGUGGAGGAAUACCGAUGGCGAAGGCAGCCCCCUGGGCCAAUACUGACGCUCAUGUACGAAAGCGUGGGGAGCAAACAGG
rnacentral:rRNA from 1 species